rnacentral:lncRNA from 1 species
UCAUUUUGGCUUAGGGGAAAGUCCCCUUUGAUUGGUUGACGUUUCAAGCCCUUAGCUUGCAGCUGUGACUUAUUUUGGCUUAGGGGAAAAAAUCCCCUUAGGGAAGUCCCUAGGGACCCAGGAAGUCCAGCCAACUUAGCCACUUAGUCCCUCAAGAUGCAAGGUUUGCUAAGUGUUUUGAGGUUGCAAACUGACUUCUGGGUUUUGAGAACUAUUUGACUUUCUGGCUUCACAACUGGCCAUCAAACUACAGUCAGUCAUGCAACAGGAGCCUCUGAUGACGACCCUUUCUGCUGGGAACCCUUAAAUAGGCCUCUGAGGGAGCUCUGACUGCGGCUUCCCCCAAAACAGCGCCCCCUGUCAGCAGGAGGCAAUAAUGGAGCUAUUUUUUUCUUUCGUUGUCCAAGUGGAAGAUGUUAAAAAAGAAACCCUCAAUG